rnacentral:rRNA from 1 species
GAUGAACGCUGGCGGCGUGCCUAAUACAUGCAAGUCGAGCGAACAGACGAGGAGCUUUCUCCUCUGACGUUAGCGGCGGACGGGUGAGUAACACGUGGAUAACCUACCUCUAAUACUGGGGUAACUUCGUGAAACCGGUUCUAAUACCGGAUCAUAUAUUGUACCGCAUGGUUCAAUAGUGAAAGACGGUUUUGCUGUCACUUAUAGAUGGAUCCGCGCCGCAUUAGCUAGUUGGUAAGGUAACGGCUUACCAAGGCAACGAUGCGUAGCCGACCUGAGAGGGUGAUCGGCCACACUGGAACUGAGACACGGUCCAGACUCCUACGGGAGGCAGCAGUAGGGAAUCUUCCGCAAUGGGCGAAAGCCUGACGGAGCAACGCCGCGUGAGUGAUGAAGGUCUUCGGAUCGUAAAACUCUGUUAUUAGGGAAGAACAAAUGUGUAAGUAACUAUGCACGUCUUGACGGUACCUAAUCAGAAAGCCACGGCUAACUACGUG